rnacentral:lncRNA from 1 species
CUCUUGGCCGUCGGGACUUGUACUGUUGGUGACUCCGUCUCCUUAGACGGUGGAGCCUGCGUGACCCAGAAAGGCCGUGAGUCUUGACACUGUAUUUUUGCAUAUGUGCGCACAUGUGCCGAUUUACAUUCACAUGCCCCAUAAGCCCUGUCCCAUUUGUCCUUCCUCUAAGCCGUCCUCUUACCCAGUUCCCCUCUCACACCUGAGAAGCAUUUCUCCGCAGGAGUCACAUUUAUAGCAUUAUUUUUUUCUUCGAACUAAAAACAUAACUCCUAUUUUCUCGGGUAGUUUUUGUAGGGAGGUCGAAAUAGAAACACUUCAGCCCCUCUUCGGCGAGGGAGGUUAGUUGGUAAGGUGCCCAUUGUUCACCCAUGGAAACAGGCCUGCCAAGGGCCGCCCCGCAGACAGGUGAGCCCGCGCCCCCGUCCUGGGCGGACUGCGACAUGCGGCGGGUGUCUGGAUUGCGUGGCUCCUCGGGCCUCCUCGCAGUGCUUGCUCUCUUCCGUUCUAGCACUUGCCUCGGUGACCUGGCAGGACGUGCGGUUCUUGAGAUGAGUGGAGAAACGGACUCCCAGGUCCCUCUCGUUCUUCCAACACAGGGACAGCUAGAGCUGCUCCAAAAAUAUACCCUACUUCUUCCACAACCGUGAAUCUGUCAUUUUUACUGCACCAUCACUUACUUCCUGGCCUUCCCGGAGGAAGUGUGCGGGCCUCCCCGAAGUAACCGGUACCGCCCGGGGGGUUUUGAAGUUCUUGGUCAACUGCAAAAUCAAUCAACCUAGUUAACUCCUAGGGCCCUAAGUCUUGGCUUCCCCUGGCCAGGCGGGCGAGCGCUCUCCACACCGCCCCCGGAGGUCAUAGGGGUUCCCGGGACUGCAGGCGGCAGCGCCCCAGGUGCCUGGGGGCGGGCGGGGUGCGGGCAGGUGCUCCUUGGGCGCUUUCUGUUUUCCCACGCCUCCAGUUUGCAAACCGAAAGACUUCUUUCCAGAGGGUUUUGUGCAAGGUGGGUGGACGUCCCGCUGAAGUAGAGUGGAUUUUCCUUUUGAAACACUUGGCAACAUCUCACAUUAAUUCACUCUGAGAGACAAGCAGCCAAGCACCUGAACACCCUGACACUUGCAAUCUUCUUUAGGAAUAAAGGCAAUAAAAACAACUUCUGUUUUUAUAGUCCUUCGCAGUUUCCAACAAGUUUUCAAGCAUGUAUAAUGUUAUCUAAUCCUUACGGCAACUGUAAUUCACAGGUUUUAUCACAGGUUUCUAUUAUUAUUCCCACUAUCAUUCUUAUUAUUCCCAUUUCAGAGAUGAGAAAAAUCAGAAAGAUGCGAACUAGGCCCAGAAACUUUUGCACUAAGUUUUGAAGAGGGGAAGGGAAAGAAGGCGGAAUGCUUACCUGGGAGAGGACUGGCGGCCACAGAGCAGGGCUCAGGAAAGGGCAUGAGCUGGGGCCCUGGUGAGGAAUGUGUGAGAAUGUAUGUAGGUGGUAAGCAACUGGACAAGAAUCAGGGUGGAAAUGAAGUAGUCAAAUCCUAUCUACCUCUCCUAGUGCCUUUAACAGGAUAGUCAAUAAAAGACCAUGAGGCAAGUCUUUUCUAAGUGCUUCUCCAGGGGCUGUGGUGGCAGCUCCUCAACUACUACACUGACACAAAAAUUUGCUUUCCUUUGUAGUACAACUUGAAGUCAGGUAGAGGAAUGCCUCUAGCUUUGUUAUUUUUGCUCAGAAUUGCCCUAGCUUUUCAGGGUCUUUUGUGGUUCCAUACAAAUUUUAGGAUUUUUUUUUCUAGUUCUGUGAUGAGUGUCAUUGAUAUUUUGGUAGGGAUUGUACUGUACCUGUAGGUGGC